CCGGCGAUGUCCGAAUGGGGAAACCCAGUGCAAUUCGUUGCACUAUCGUUAACUGAAUACAUAGGUUAACGAGGCGAACCGGGGGAACUGAAACAUCUAAGUACCCCGAGGAAAAGAAAUCAACCGAGAUUCCCCCAGUAGCGGCGAGCGAACGGGGAGCAGCCCAGAGUCUGAAUCAGCUUGUGUGUUAGUGGAACGGUCUGGAAAGUCCGACGGUACAGGGUGAUAGUCCCGUACACCAAAAUGCACAGGCUGUGAACUCGAAGAGUAGGGCGGGACACGUGGUAUCCUGUCUGAAUAUGGGGGGACCAUCCUCCAAGGCUAAAUACUCCUGACUGACCGAUAGUGAACCAGUACCGUGAGGGAAAGGCGAAAAGAACCCCGGCGAGGGGAGUGAAAAAGAACCUGAAACCGUGUACGUACAAGCAGUGGGAGCACCUUCGGGUGUGACUGCGUACCUUUUGUAUAAUGGGUCAGCGACUUAUAUUCUGUAGCAAGGUUAACCGUAUAGGGGAGCCGCAGGGAAACCGAGUCUUAACUGGGCGUUAAGUUGCAGGGUAUAGACCCGAAACCCGGUGAUCUAGCCAUGGGCAGGUUGAAGGUUGGGUAACACUAACUGGAGGACCGAACCGACUAAUGUUGAAAAAUUAGCGGAUGACUUGUGGCUGGGGGUGAAAGGCCAAUCAAACCGGGAGAUAGCUGGUUCUCCCCGAAAGCUAUUUAGGUAGCGCCUCGUGAACUCAUCUUCGGGGGUAGAGCACUGUUUCGGCUAGGGGGUCAUCCCGACUUACCAACCCGAUGCAAACUACGAAUACCGAAGAAUGUUAUCACGGGAGACACACGGCGGGUGCUAACGUCCGUCGUGAAGAGGGAAACAACCCAGACCGCCAGCUAAGGUCCCAAAGUCAUGGUUAAGUGGGAAACGAUGUGGGAAGGCACAGACAGCCAGGAUGUUGGCUUAGAAGCAGCCAUCAUUUAAAGAAAGCGUAAUAGCUCACUGGUCGAGUCGGCCUGCGCGGAAGAUGUAACGGGGCUAAACCAUGCACCGAAGCUGCGGCAGCGACACUAUGUGUUGUUGGGUAGGGGAGCGUUCUGUAAGCCUGCGAAGGUGUGCUGUGAGGCAUGCUGGAGGUAUCAGAAGUGCGAAUGCUGACAUAAGUAACGAUAAAGCGGGUGAAAAGCCCGCUCGCCGGAAGACCAAGGGUUCCUGUCCAACGUUAAUCGGGGCAGGGUGAGUCGACCCCUAAGGCGAGGCCGAAAGGCGUAGUCGAUGGGAAACAGGUUAAUAUUCCUGUACUUGGUGUUACUGCGAAGGGGGGACGGAGAAGGCUAUGUUAGCCGGGCGACGGUUGUCCCGGUUUAAGCAUGUAGGCUGGUUGUCCAGGCAAAUCCGGAUAAUCAAGGCUGAGGUGUGAUGACGAGGCACUACGGUGCUGAAGUAACAAAUGCCCUGCUUCCAGGAAAAGCCUCUAAGCAUCAGGUAACAUCAAAUCGUACCCCAAACCGACACAGGUGGUCAGGUAGAGAAUACCAAGGCGCUUGAGAGAACUCGGGUGAAGGAACUAGGCAAAAUGGUGCCGUAACUUCGGGAGAAGGCACGCUGGUGUGUAGGUGAAGUCCCUGCGGAUGGAGCUGAGACCAGUCGAAGAUACCAGCUGGCUGCAACUGUUUAUUAAAAACACAGCACUGUGCAAACACGAAAGUGGACGUAUACGGUGUGACGCCUGCCCGGUGCCGGAAGGUUAAUUGAUGGGGUUAUCCGUAAGGAGAAGCUCUUGAUCGAAGCCCCGGUAAACGGCGGCCGUAACUAUAACGGUCCUAAGGUAGCGAAAUUCCUUGUCGGGUAAGUUCCGACCUGCACGAAUGGCGUAAUGAUGGCCAGGCUGUCUCCACCCGAGACUCAGUGAAAUUGAACUCGCUGUGAAGAUGCAGUGUACCCGCGGCAAGACGGAAAGACCCCGUGAACCUUUACUAUAGCUUGACACUGAACAUUGAGCCUUGAUGUGUAGGAUAGGUGGGAGGCUUUGAAGCGUGGACGCCAGUCUGCGUGGAGCCAACCUUGAAAUACCACCCUUUAAUGUUUGAUGUUCUAACGUUGGCCCCUUACCGGGGUUGCGGACAGUGUCUGGUGGGUAGUUUGACUGGGGCGGUCUCCUCCCAAAGCGUAACGGAGGAGCACGAAGGUUAGCUAAUCCUGGUCGGACAUCAGGAGGUUAGUGCAAUGGCAUAAGCUAGCUUGACUGCGAGCGUGACGGCGCGAGCAGGUGCGAAAGCAGGUCAUAGUGAUCCGGUGGUUCUGAAUGGAAGGGCCAUCGCUCAACGGAUAAAAGGUACUCCGGGGAUAACAGGCUGAUACCGCCCAAGAGUUCAUAUCGACGGCGGUGUUUGGCACCUCGAUGUCGGCUCAUCACAUCCUGGGGCUGAAGUAGGUCCCAAGGGUAUGGCUGUUCGCCAUUUAAAGUGGUACGCGAGCUGGGUUUAGAACGUCGUGAGACAGUUCGGUCCCUAUCUGCCGUGGGCGCUGGAGAAUUGAGGGGGGCUGCUCCUAGUACGAGAGGACCGGAGUGGACGCAUCACUGGUGUUCGGGUUGUCAUGCCAAUGGCACUGCCCGGUAGCUAAAUGCGGAAGAGAUAAGUGCUGAAAGCAUCUAAGCACGAAACUUGCCCCGAGAUGAGUUCUCCCUGAGACUUUAAGUCUCCUGAAGGAACGUUGAAGACGACGACGUUGAUAGGCCGGGUGUGUAAGCGCAGCGAUGCGUUGAGCUAACCGGUACUAAUGAACCGUGAGGCUUAACCUU
rnacentral:rRNA from 1 species